rnacentral:rRNA from 1 species
UACGAAGGGGGCUAGCGUUGCUCGGAAUUACUGGGCGUAAAGCGCACGUAGGCGGAUUGUUAAGUCAGGGGUGAAAUCCUGGAGCUCAACUCCAGAACUGCCUUUGAUACUGGCGAUCUCGAGUCCGGGAGAGGUGAGUGGAACUGCGAGUGUAGAGGUGAAAUUCGUAGAUAUUCGCAAGAACACCAGUGGCGAAGGCGGCUCACUGGCCCGGUACUGACGCUGAGGCACGAAAGCGUGGGGAGCAAACAGG